rnacentral:rRNA from 1 species
GAUGAAUGCUGGCGGCGCGCCUAACACAUGCAAGUCGAGCGGAAAGGCCCUUCGGGGUACUCGAGCGGCGGACGGCUGAGUAACGCGUGGGAACGUACCCCAAAGUGAGGAAUAACCGCCCGAAAGGGUGGCUAAUGCCGCAUAUGAUCUUCGGAUUGAAGCCUUCGGGCGCUUUGGGAACGACCUGCGUAUGAUUAGAUAGUUGGUAGGGUAAAGGCCUACCAAGUCUACGAUCAUUAACUGGUCUGAGAGGAUGAUCAGUCAGACUGGAACUGAGACACGGUCCAGACUCCUACGGGAGGCAGCAGUGAGGAAUCUUCCACAAUGGGCGAAAGCCUGAUGGAGCGACGCCGCGUGCAGGAUGAAGGCCUUCGGGUUGUAAACUGCUUUUAUAAGUGAAGAAUAUGACGGUAACUUAUGAAUAAGCACCGGCUAACUACGUGCCAGCAGCCGCGGUA